CAUAUGUAGAUCUAAUUAGGGGUGGAUUUAAGGUGAUAAUUAUUGCAUAGUUGAAAAUCCAAAGUGGCAAAUUGACUCUUGUGCAGAUUUUUUCACGUGUCAUAUUUGUGCAUUUCCAAAUUUUCACGAGUCAAAACCCGAAUCCCCGCGUCAAUCGAGAGUCCUGAAUUAAAGUAGGCUGACGGAUAUUAACGAUGAUAACUUAGUCUUUACUUAACCAGCGAACCUUUACGAUUAUACUCGAGCAAUAUCCGUAUAUUUACGCUAACCAAGACGAGCAUAAUUUCAUGACGUAUUGGAUACGUAUACUGAUGAACGUAGCAACACAAUUGUUUUGGAAACUACUGUAGAAUUGUAUGAAAUUCAAGCGCUUGUUGGGCUUAAAAUAAUAGAUUUUUGAAAUAAAAUUCAACGAUAUAAUUGAAAUUAUUCAGUCAUUGUAUUGACAGCAAAAACAACAGAAGUACACGAAAUUUUGCGAAUCAAGCACAUGUUACUGACGUAGUACACAUGUUUAUUACGUAGAACACAGGUUUAUUGUGCGCGCAAUAUUCAAAGACGGCAGACACUUCGUCUCUUAUCAACAGUGAACUGAUAUCGUCUCCCCAAUAAAGACAUACAACGAGGAAGGUGAAAUAGCUCAAGCAAAUUAUCAGAAGAAGACCUUCAAAGCUGCAAUCGGUGAAAUUCACUAUAAGAAUUGGUACCACAAGGCCACAAAGGGAGGAGUUCAACUUACUCGUGGAUGAUGUUCAAAGCUGAGGAGAGUGAGAGCUUAAAUCUAUAAAACGGGUCAAAACUUUUGAUAUAGAAACUGUCAUAAAUUCUUCAGUUAAUUGAAAGAGGGCAAGUUGUACAAAAUGCCAUGGAGCUAAAUAUACAUGGAGAAGAAACUGUGAUGUCACACAGUUAAAUUCAGUAUUGUGUUCAGAAUUGUGGCAGAAUUGUGUUCUUAUAAGUUUAUCAUAUGUCGGGGAUUUUCAGAGAUUUGAUGCAUCCUUGGUAAAAAUAGCCAAAACACCGUCAUAUUGAAUUCCCGGAGGAAGAUGAAACAUUUUUUUGCUUAAAUAAGAAGCAAUAGUUAUUUAUUGUAAAAGGUACUAUACACACUUUUCUAUACAAAUAUUUCUCUGAUGAAAAUCUAUGUAGGGGUAUGUAAACAAUAAUUCAUGGAUAUCGUCCAAGUUUAACGAGAGUGCGAAAAUUGGAGACUAUCGGGAAAACUCAAUUAUCACCGAAGCCUGCAAAGGAUUGUGGGUCUGAAUCUGACUAUUAUCUAUUUUUAGAGCUUCCUAUCUGUUGUGUGUAUAUAUCUGUGAAAAUGCAAAGAAGUCGUUGGAUUACAAAAGAUCAACAUUUCAUUUGAUUACCAGAGAUCAUCAAUUCACUGGAUUACUGAGAUUCUCUGUAUGAAAGAUUUGAUGACAAGAAAAUUAUUAAACCGGCAAAAAUUGGAUCUUACAGCAAGGAUUUACUCAUUUCAGAAGACAGCAAUAGAAAAUGUAGGAGUUGCAUGUAAUACUGGAGGUUUCUUGCGUCAUGUUUUGUACUGUUUCAGUGACAUUUCUUAGACUGUUUAAGUGAUGUCCCUCAUUCAAUCAGUUAAGAAAAUGAUGAAAAGCAAAUUAAAAUCUAGGAGUGACCUAGUCAAGUAUUAUAAUGUUUUAACUUUUAGUGCUAAAUUCAAAGAGGUGUCACAUGUUACAGACUAUUUUAAAAAAGGAAUCUUAAGUCAAGUGUUAUUGCCAAAGCUCAUUGCAUUCCAGUAACUACAAUGAUAUAUCUAAAGAAGUGUGUCUAAACAAUACAAAAACAAUUAAACUGUAAGGAAAAUACUUUGUUUCAUAUGCAAUCAUGCUUUUUAUUAAAUUUAAUAGUUUGCUUA